rnacentral:rRNA from 1 species
ACGUACGCUGGCGGCACGCCUAACACAUGCAAGUCGAACGCAGUAGCAAUACUGAGUGGCGAACGGGUGAGUAUAAUGUGGGUAUCUGCCUUUUGGUUUGGAAUAACACGGGGAAACUUGUGCUAAUACCGGAUAAGCCCUUACGGGGAAAGUUUUAACGCCGAAAGAUGAGCUCACACUUGAUUAGCUAGUUGGUAAGGUAAUGGCUUACCAAGGCUACGAUCAAUAGCUGAUCUGAGAGGAUGAUCAGCCACAUUGGGACUGAGACACGGCCCAAACUCCUACGGGAGGCAGCAGUGGGGAAUCUUGCACAAUGGAGGAAACUCUGAUGCAGCGAUGCCGCGUGAGUGAAGAAGGCCUUUGGGUUGUAAAGCUCUUUCGUCGGGGAAGAAAAUGACUGUACCCGAAUAAGAAGGUCCGGCUAACUUCGUGCCAGCAGCCGCGGUAAUACGAAGGGACCUAGCGUAGUUCGGAAUUACUGGGCUUAAAGAGUUCGUAGGUGGUUAAAAAAGUUGGUGGUGAAAGCCCAGAGCUUAACUCUGGAACGGCCAUCAAAACUUUUUAGCUAGAGCAUGAUAGAGGAAAGCAGAAUUUCUAGUGUAGAGGUGAAAUUCGUAGAUAUUAGAAAGAAUACCAAUUGCGAAGGCAGCUUUCUGGAUCAUUGCUGACACUGAGGAACGAAAGCAUGGGUAGCGAAGAGGAUUAGAUACCCUCGUAGUCCAUGCCGUAAACGAUGUGUGUUAGACGUUGGAAAUUUAUUUUCAGUGUCGCAGCGAAAGCGAUAAACACACCGCCUGGGGAGUACGACCGCAAGGUUAAAACUCAAAUGAAUUGACGGGGACCCGCACAAGUAGUGGAGCAUGUGGUUUAAUUCGAAGAUACGCGCAGAACCUUACCAACACUUGACAUGUUCGUCGCGACUCUAAGAGAUUAGAGUUUUCGGUUCGGCCGGACGAAACACAGGUGCUGCAUGGCUGUCGUCAGCUCGUGUCGUGAGAUGUUGGGUUAAGUCCCGCAACGAGCGCAACCCUCACUUUUAGUUGCCAUCAUUAAGUUGGGCACUCUGAAAGAACUGCCAGUGAUAAGCUGGAGGAAGGUGGGGAUGACGUCAAGUCCUCAUGGCCCUUACGUGUUGGGCUACACACGUGCUACAAUGGUAUCUACAACAGGAAGCAAGACUGCGAAGUUAAGCAAAUCCCUAAAAGAUACCUCAGUUCGGAUUGCACUCUGCAACUCGAGUGCAUGAAGCUGGAAUUACUAGUAAUCGUGGAUCAGCGUGCCACGGUGAAUGCGUUCCCGGGUCUUGUACACACCGC